rnacentral:rRNA from 1 species
AUGUCUCAGACUAAGCCAUGCACGUCUAGUACAAACUAAAUGAUGGUGAAACUGCAAAUGGCUCAUUACAACGGUUAUGAUGUACCCGGGAGUUCCGAUGGAUAUUUCCAGUAACACUAGAACUAAUACAUGUCCCUGCGUUUAUUAGUUUCGCACAGUCCGUCGCUGAGUCAUGGUAAACAGUUGAUCGACUCGACGUCCCGGAACAGUUUCCGCCCCAUCAGCUUCGAUGGUUGGGUAUUGGCCUACCAUUGCAACAACGGGUAACGAGGAAUUAGGGUUUGAUUUCGGAGAGGGAGCCUGAGAAACGGCUACCACAUCUACGGAUGGCAGCAGGCGCGCAAAUUACCCAAUGCAGACACUGUGAGGUAGUGACGAGAAAUAAUAAAGCGGGACUUCUGUUUCGCUAUUAUAAUGAGGAAUAACCAAAGGUCAUUCCGAUUAGCAACUGAUGGGAAAGUCUGGUGCCAGCAGCCGCGGUAAUACCAGCGUCAGUAGCA